rnacentral:rRNA from 1 species
UGUGAGCUCGAUGAGUAGGGCGGGACACGUGGUAUCCUGUCUGAAUAUGGGGGGACCAUCCUCCAAGGCUAAAUACUCCUGACUGACCGAUAGUGAACCAGUACCGUGAGGGAAAGGCGAAAAGAACCCCGGCGAGGGGAGUGAAAAAGAACCUGAAACCGUGUACGUACAAGCAGUGGGAGCACGCUUAGGCGUGUGACUGCGUACCUUUUGUAUAAUGGGUCAGCGACUUAUAUUCUGUAGCAAGGUUAACCGAAUAGGGGAGCCGAAGGGAAACCGAGUCUUAACUGGGCGUUAAGUUGCAGGGUAUAGACCCGAAACCCGGUGAUCUAGCCAUGGGCAGGUUGAAGGUUGGGUAACACUAACUGGAGGACCGAACCGACUAAUGUUGAAAAAUUAGCGGAUGACUUGUGGCUGGGGGUGAAAGGCCAAUCAAACCGGGAGAUAGCUGGUUCUCCCCGAAAGCUAUUUAGGUAGCGCCUCGUGAAUUCAUCUCCGGGGGUAGAGCACUGUUUCGGCAAGGGGGUCAUCCCGACUUACCAACCCGAUGCAAACUGCGAAUACCGGAGAAUGUUAUCACGGGAGACACACGGCGGGUGCUAACGUCCGUCGUGAAGAGGGAAACAACCCAGACCGCCAGCUAAGGUCCCAAAGUCAUGGUUAAGUGGGAAACGAUGUGGGAAGGCCCAGACAGCCAGGAUGUUGGCUUAGAAGCAGCCAUCAUUUAAAGAAAGCGUAAUAGCUCACUGGUCGAGUCGGCCUGCGCGGAAGAUGUAACGGGGCUAAACCAUGCACCGAAGCUGCGGCAGCGACGCUUAUGCGUUGUUGGGUAGGGGAGCGUUCUGUAAGCCUGCGAAGGUGUGCUGUGAGGCAUGCUGGAGGUAUCAGAAGUGCGAAUGCUGACAUAAGUAACGAUAAAGCGGGUGAAAAGCCCGCUCGCCGGAAGACCAAGGGUUCCUGUCCAACGUUAAUCGGGGCAGGGUGAGUCGACCCCUAAGGCGAGGCCGAAAGGCGUAGUCGAUGGGAAACAGGUUAAUAUUCCUGUACUUGGUGUUACUGCGAAGGGGGGACGGAGAAGGCUAUGUUGGCCGGGCGACGGUUGUCCCGGUUUAAGCGUGUAGGCUGGUUUUCCAGGCAAAUCCGGAAAAUCAAGGCUGAGGCGUGAUGACGAGGCACUACGGUGCUGAAGCAACAAAUGCCCUGCUUCCAGGAAAAGCCUCUAAGCAUCAGGUAACAUCAAAUCGUACCCCAAACCGACACAGGUGGUCAGGUAGAGAAUACCAAGGCGCUUGAGAGAACUCGGGUGAAGGAACUAGGCAAAAUGGUGCCGUAACUUCGGGAGAAGGCACGCUGAUAUGUAGGUGAAGUCCCUCGCGGAUGGAGCUGAAAUCAGUCGAAGAUACCAGCUGGCUGCAACUGUUUAUUAAAAACACAGCACUGUGCAAACACGAAAGUGGACGUAUACGGUGUGACGCCUGCCCGGUGCCGGAAGGUUAAUUGAUGGGGUCAGCGCAAGCGAAGCUCUUGAUCGAAGCCCCGGUAAACGGCGGCCGUAACUAUAACGGUCCUAAGGUAGCGAAAUUCCUUGUCGGGUAAGUUCCGACCUGCACGAAUGGCGUAAUGAUGGCCAGGCUGUCUCCACCCGAGACUCAGUGAAAUUGAACUCGCUGUGAAGAUGCAGUGUACCCGCGGCAAGACGGAAAGACCCCGUGAACCUUUACUAUAGCUUGACACUGAACAUUGAGCCUUGAUGUGUAGGAUAGGUGGGAGGCUUUGAAGUGUGGACGCCAGUCUGCAUGGAGCCG